GAGAAUAACCGCAGGAAAUGAUUUUAGCAAUGAGUGAAUUACAGAAAUACAUUUCUUGGCAUUAUUUUGGCACAAGAUAUUUUUGUUGUUGAACCUUUGUCUUACACAUUACAUGUAGACUGGCACUGACUGCAUUAUUUUUAAUUCAGUGACGUGUAGAAGCUAACAAUGGUCAGUGACAUUUAACAUGGAUGGUGAAGACUGACCACAGCAUUCUAGUAACCAGGGGAAACGGGGACAAGAGUGACCUGAAUAAAUAAAAUUCACGGUUAAUGCGAAAAUCAUAUGUAUGUUUGUUCAAUUUGAAAUACAGUUAAUAAUUGACUCUGCAAGUAUCCAUAACAUUUUUAUCUCCAGGCUGGCUGCACCCGUUGCGGCCGUUACAUGCACCGUUGACUGAAGAAUAUAGACACCAAGGUCGCCAGAUGGCCAGCGCAUGAGGAUCGUACCAACCCAAGAAGAUUUACGGUACCAUUACAGAGGGAAAUCUCCUACCUAAGAGGAUGGGAUAGAGUGGAAGCUAAGCGUACCCACCGUCGCGCGCACCGUCUGGUGAGUCGCAGGACAAACCAAUUGCAUAUGUGUGCAUCGCGUCAUACGUGUGUGAGUCAACACCGGCAAUAUUUGCAAACAAGACAAGUUGUAUCAGAAAAGCUGAAAUCGAAUAUUCAUUGUAAAGUUAAGUUCUUUGGUUAAGUUGUUCUAAUUGAAUAUGGUUGUGUACUGCGGUGUGAAAGGGUGCAAUAGAAAUGCUAGAACCGACCGGGAACAUACAUUUUUUCGAAUAGCAGUAAUGCCGAAGACUUGUGGUGUACCAGGAUGCGACAGCGGGAAAUAUCAAGAUCGCUGCGGCCCAUUUCUCUGUUUGCCGUACCUAAGAGUGACCAUCGACUCGAAGUAUGGAAAAAUGCUUUGAAAUACGAUCUUAUAAAAACGCAGCACAUUUGUCAGCUGCACUUUGCAGACAAAUACAUUCGGAAGAGCGAGACGAUUAAAUUGUUCGAUGAUACAAUCAGCUGUGUAUCUCGCGACCAUUGGUCUUUAGAAACUGAAGCUGUACGAAUGCUGCUCGUUCAACCUACGGAACGAAGCGAACAUUUUAGAACAACAACGUUCCUGUCGCGGAUAGUGUCAUGGAGCACGACGGCAUAGUCGAAUCAAUCGAUCGAGUUGGUGAGGAGGAGAGCAUUUUAAAUGACAAUUCUGCCAAUAACAGCCUGGGGAUGGAAUCUAGUGAGAUUCUAGAAGGAAUGGUCCAUGAAAAGAUCACACGAGAAUGUAACUGCAAACGGCAAUCCAACAUUCUCAAUUCAUGAUUUGAAAGAAUCAGAGUAUUUCGAACAAAAUUAUAGAUUUCAAGGACACCAUAAAGUCUACGGCCGACAUUCUCAGCUACAUGAACACGGUGAAAAACUUGUCUGUUUGCAGGGGGACGGACAUUGGAAAUGAAAAGUGCAAUCCUGAAUGCAUGGGAAUUCUCAAUGAUACUGAAUCGUACAAACAUACGGUGCAGCGUCUAUGGUGUAUCCGUUGUCGGCGGCUUCGCAAAAAGUUAUUGCAAAUAGAGAAAAAAAUUGUUCUUCAGAAGAAAUAUGAGGAGUCAAAAUAUACGCUGCACAGUUGCAGCGACGAAAGUAUCUCCGUUCGCAAUGGAAGAUUAAGAUGAUGAAGGCAAAUAUAGAUUCCAGUGUGUUGGAAAAUAAUAUUUCCGGUUUUCCGGAUGCGCAACAAGAAGCGAUUAAAUCAUGCUUGGAGGCCUCCAAAGUUAAAUCUCCCAACAGGCAGAGAUACUCAACCAACUGGAUAUACGAAUGUUUGUUGAUGCGGAUAAAAAACGCAGCCCUGUACGAACAUCUAAGGGAUCGACAAAUUUUACCAGUUCCCUGCCGCAAAACGUUGAACAGAUAUAUUCAAAAGAUUAGCUCGUCGUCCUAGGGAUUUCAGGAAGCUAUCUUCGAAGACUUACGGAAAAAGGAUCGCAGAUGGAAAAAUCUUUUAAAAGAGGUACCCUCCUAGUCGACGAGAUGAAGUUGAGUGAGGCAAUUUCAUUUGACCAGAAGACAAUGGAGUUUGGAGGUUUCGUCGAUUUAGGGAAAUAUACUCCGGAAAACAAAAAGCAACAAGAGCAGACCACGCGCUCGUCUUUAUGUUUCAACCAUUUCGAGGCAUCUGGUUGUUCUCGCAACAAAUUCGUGCAGCUAUGGAAGUUUACGAACAGACAUGCCUGCAAUUGAAAGAUUCCAAACCAACGAGGGCUUUUUCUGAGCGCGUUCACAAUGUAAUCAUGGCGAUGAUGUUCAGAACGCCUCUCAAUGCGCUUCGUCUAUCCGAAUCCUGUCCACAAAAGAAGCAAUCUUUAACUGCCAGCUUCUAAGAGGUUCCCCAAGACGAAUUUGGACAUUCAACGUUGGAUUUCCAAUCAUCGUCAUUUAUACGUUCUCGUACCAUGGUGGAGACUGUGCUGAGAUUGUUUUCGAUGUUGUUCAAUUCAAUAAACUGUCGUUCGGAUAAACUCGUUCAUUUAUUAGAGGAUUGCUGCUCACUAUCUAAUGAUCUUUCAGAUCGGUAAUACUUCCUUCGGACGAUCGAUGUGGACUGUCUUGACAUGACAUUACCCAUGAUCCUGAACUGAUGGCUUGACCUUUUUGUUUUCCUUGCAUGAAUGUCUGCUCACUCUGGAAUCCUGGUUGAAGUAAUCCUACCUGGUGGUGCUGAUUUUUUUUAUGUGCUCCGGGCGUAUAAUAUUCAUUUAUACAUUGCGUUUCUUCGUCCAUCUGUGUGUUCGUAUGUUCUUUUCGUUUCUUGUCUGGGAGCAUUACAUCGAUGUUUAUUUUGUCUCUUUUAUCCAGCUGUGUGUCCAUGUGAUUUUUUGCGCUCCGGGAGCGUAACAUCGAUUUUUAUUUUAUGCUGUUUUUAUGUAUUUCUGUACAAUAAUCUCCCAUUCCAAUUUGUAUAACACUUACCUCAUCACAUUAUUAUAUUUUUUUCGAUAUUUACUGGGUCUGUUAUUUUAACACUUGCAGUAGCAAUUACUUUGUUAAUUAUGCUGCUUCCUAAUGCUUCCUCACAAUAAUCAUUUUUCCAUUCAUUCCUGCUAUACUAAAUAGGCCAUUUCAAGCUUCCUCGCGUACUUGAAGGAAUGGGAGUCAUCAGUUUCUUCGCUAAAAGAACUGCCAAUAUCGUCAAGUACCUUGAAAGGUUUGAAAGUGAUCCUGGGAGCUACCCUCGAAAUCUUGGAUGCCUUGCAAUCACGAUCCAAUUUUGAGUACCUUAUGACCGCACGACUAAACCAAGACGCUUUGGAAAGGAUUUUUAGUAUGACGCGCAAAGCCUGUGGUAGAAAUGACCAUCCUGAUCCGCAGUUCUUCGCUCAAAUGUUUUGAUUGUUGUGCAGCCACUCGUUAGUAAAGCCUCGAAGAGGGAAUAACGUCGAAGGACAUGAGCUGCUCGAAACACUAAUGCAGACGACAGAUUCGUUGGCUGCUGCAUCAAAACCACGCACUGAAUGGUUGCAAACCAUUGACGACAUGCUGGAACAACAAGUACGUGCCGACGAAGCACCCAUGGAAACUUACCAGCGGGAUCAUGAUUACUAGGUUCCAUUGUCGAUGGAUUUUAGCACGUGGAAGGACAGCACGCACGACCAUACGUACGUCACACGUACAAGUGCAGAAGUACAAUGUUACAUAGCUGGUUACGUUGCCCCAACAAUGAUGAAGAAGCUGAAAUGCUGCGACUGCAUAAAUUCCUUAAAAUCUCGUGAACCAGGAGUUACUGAUCCGACUCAUGUAGCCAUAAAUCUUCUGGAGAAAUUUGGAGGGUUGAUCCGGCCUAGUGAGCCCUUGUUUCGGUUGACCGAAUGCCUGGAAUCAACUGUAUUGGACGUUACUGGUAAAUUCGGUAUACACGUCGAUACGAUCCACACCAUUCUCCAGAGAGCAUCGGAAAUUCAAAAUCUACCAAUGGUUGAUUAUGCUGAUCACUACAUGAGUUGCACAAGAAAGAUCAUUGACUUUUAUAUAAUUAUGAGAGCUUGUUUCCUUGUCAAAUCAUACAACGCCAACCAGAAUGAGAGUCGUAUAAAAAUGAAACGACUCCGCAAGAACGCGAAGCUUUAGAUGCUACGUUGUGAAUACUCGAAGAUACUGUUGAAACUCGAUUCUAACCUUCAAUACGCGAUGCUCAUCAAACAGGUUAUGUCGAUUGACGAUUUGGGUGGGAUAUUUACUGAUUACCGUUGAAUAUAAAAUCGAUUACGUCCUGGGAGUUAAGGAUUAGGUUGUUGGUAAGAGCCUUUUCCAAAAUCUCGACGAUUUGGAUCUUGAUGAUAAGGAUGACAAAGAUGAUCUGGAUAAUGCUUUGAAUAAAGUAACUAGACUU
rnacentral:lncRNA from 1 species